GUGAGGAAUAUUGGUCAAUGGGCGAGAGCCUGAACCAGCCAAGUCGCGUGAAGGAAGAAGGAUCUAUGGUUCGUAAACUUCUUUUGCAGGGGAAUAAAGUGCGGGACGUGUCCUGUUUUGUAUGUACCCUGAGAAUAAGGAUCGGCUAACUCCGUGCCAGCAGCCGCGGUAAUACGGAGGAUCCGAGCGUUAUCCGGAUUUAUUGGGUUUAAAGGGUGCGUAGGUGGUUUGAUAAGUCAGCGGUGAAAGUUUGCAGCUUAACUGUAAAAAUGCCGUUGAAACUGUCGGACUUGAGUGUAGAUGAGGUAGGCGGAAUGCGUGGUGUAGCGGUGAAAUGCAUAGAUAUCACGCAGAACUCCGAUUGCGAAGGAAGCUUACUAAGCUACAACUGACACUGAAGCACGAAAGCGUGGGGAUCAAACAGGAUUAGAAACCCGUGUAGUCC
rnacentral:rRNA from 1 species